CGUAGGUGGCAAGCGUUGUCCGGAUUUAUUGGGUUUAAAGGGUGCGUAGGCGGCCCUGUAAGUCAGUGGUGAAAUAUCUCAGCUUAACUGAGAGGGUGCCAUUGAUACUGCAGGGCUUGAGUACAGAUGAGGUAGGCGGAAUUGACGGUGUAGCGGUGAAAUGCAUAGAUAUCGUCAAGAACACCGAUAGCGAAGGCAGCUUACCAAGCUGUAACUGACGCUCGAGGCACGAAAGUGUGGGGAUCAAACAGGAUUAGAUACCCUGGUAGUCCACACUGUAAACGUUGAUGACUCGAUGUUGGCGAUACACAGCCAGCGUCCAAGAGCAAUCGUUAAGUCAUCCACCUGGGGAGUACGCCGGCAACGGUG
rnacentral:rRNA from 1 species